GUACUUUACAAAGUAGAGAGAAAGGGAGAGAGGGAGAGAGAACGAAAAGAGAUCUCGUAAAUGAAGAGACGACGUCGAUCGAGACUAAGUUAAAAAGCAGGAGCGAUUCGUAUUGACAUCACGCACCAACGACGAUUCUAUAUACGACUGUGUCGGUCUUUUCUCAUUGGAUAUGCACGUGACGUCAGGCAUGUGUCACACUGGUGUGCGGCUGAACAAGUGAAAACUGUCCAUCGCGGAGGACGUUUUUCUGCUCUAUUGUCACAGCGAACGGAACGAAGUUUCUCGACUUCCAUCAUGUGGAAGAACUACGAACUACGUGGACCACGAAUCUUCCGAGAUGAUAGUUUUUAUCGAAGAUCUUUCUCUGUCUGUUUUACUAAAUUUUUAUGUGAAAAAUCGGAGAUGUCACGAUGAGAGUCGAAAGCACAACGGCAGACAAUACAAGUGAUAGAAGACUGUGAGUCUUAAAUUACAUGGAUCGUAAAUCGACAGCGAACGCGAUUGUUCGGCGAUUGCGUUUAAAUCACCGUUCGACAUGUCGUCGGUGAUUUAAAUGCGUGGCCGAAGAACGAAAAGCGACAGAUAAAUAGAGCGAUCGGAGAACAGGUGGACACUCGUGGGUGGUAUGUCUGUAAUGCGAUGAACACGUGACCCCGACAAGGACGUCGCCAUUUUGAGGAAAAAUAAGCGCGGCAAGUUUAUACGUGACAUCUCUCAUAUCUCUCAAUCAUCCAAUUUUCUUCUAAAAAAAAAAAAAAAUUAUCACUUUUAUUAUACAUUGUGUAAAAGUUAUAAAAGAAAAAUAAACGUAUUGCUUAAAACAAAAUAUACUGUUCGAAUGCAUUUAACUGUAAAUAACUUUAAUCCAAACGAAGAAGCGGUGAAGUAGAGAAUUAAAUAACUUGAUGCAUUUAGAAUUUCAAGGAAGAGAAUAUCUGACCGCUCUUCCGCGAAGUUAAAAAAAAAAUAGAUCGCAUUUCUGCUUUCGCGUUAACCGUACUCAAACCAUGACAACUAGUCAUUGACCAAGUCUCGUUAUGAAAUUAAUUCAAUCUGACAAUCAUGUAAAACUGUCGGUUCUAAACAUCGGUAAUCUAAUUGCGAAUUAACAUGCAAGUGUAAACAAAAUCAAAUAACAUCGAUCUGGUAUGGAGAACACGUAAUAAGAGGAAAAUAAAGGCAUAGACUAGAAACGUGUCUUUACAGCCGAUGCACUGGGAAGAUUCCCAUCGGUACUCGUGCACGGCAAAUUACGUAAGAAGCUGACAAUGCUAGUCUCGUAACAUCCUCGAGCAAA
rnacentral:misc_RNA from 1 species